rnacentral:rRNA from 1 species
UGCAACCCGCCUGUAUGAAGUUGGAAUCGCUAGUAAUCGCGGAUCAGCAUGCCGCGGUGAAUACGUUCCCGGGCCUUGUACACACCGCCCGUCACACCAUGAGAGUCGGGAACACCCGAAGUCCGUAGCCUAACCGCAAGGAGGGCGCGGCCGAAGGUGGGUUCGAUAAUUGGGGUGAAGUCGUAACAAGGUACC